rnacentral:rRNA from 1 species
GAUGAACGCUGGCGGCGUGCCUAAUACAUGCAAGUCGAGCGAACGGACGAGAAGCUUGCUUCUCUGAUGUUAGCGGCGGACGGGUGAGUAACACGUGGAUAACCUACCUAUAAGACUGGGAUAACUUCGGGAAACCGGAGCUAAUACCGGAUAAUAUUUUGAACCGCAUGGUUCAAAAGUGAAAGACGGUCUUGCUGUCACUUAUAGAUGGAUCCGCGCUGCAUUAGCUAGUUGGUAAGGUAACGGCUUACCAAGGCAACGAUGCAUAGCCGACCUGAGAGGGUGAUCGGCCACACUGGAACUGAGACACGGUCCAGACUCCUACGGGAGGCAGCAGUAGGGAAUCUUCCGCAAUGGGCGAAAGCCUGACGGAGCAACGCCGCGUGAGUGAUGAAGGUCUUCGGAUCGUAAAACUCUGUUAUUAGGGAAGAACAUAUGUGUAAGUAACUGUGCACAUCUUGACGGUACCUAAUCAGAAAGCCACGGCUAACUACGUGCCAGCAGCCGCGGUAAUACGUAGGUGGCAAGCGUUAUCCGGAAUUAUUGGGCGUAAAGCGCGCGUAGGCGGUUUUUUAAGUCUGAUGUGAAAGCCCACGGCUCAACCGUGGAGGGUCAUUGGAAACUGGAAAACUUGAGUGCAGAAGAGGAAAGUGGAAUUCCAUGUGUAGCGGUGAAAUGCGCAGAGAUAUGGAGGAACACCAGUGGCGAAGGCGACUUUCUGGUCUGUAACUGACGCUGAUGUGCGAAAGCGUGGGGAUCAAACAGGAUUAGAUACCCUGGUAGUCCACGCCGUAAACGAUGAGUGCUAAGUGUUAGGGGGUUUCCGCCCCUUAGUGCUGCAGCUAACGCAUUAAGCACUCCGCCUGGGGAGUACGACCGCAAGGUUGAAACUCAAAGGAAUUGACGGGGACCCGCACAAGCGGUGGAGCAUGUGGUUUAAUUCGAAGCAACGCGAAGAACCUUACCAAAUCUUGACAUCCUUUGACAACUCUAGAGAUAGAGCCUUCCCCUUCGGGGGACAAAGUGACAGGUGGUGCAUGGUUGUCGUCAGCUCGUGUCGUGAGAUGUUGGGUUAAGUCCCGCAACGAGCGCAACCCUUAAGCUUAGUUGCCAUCAUUAAGUUGGGCACUCUAAGUUGACUGCCGGUGACAAACCGGAGGAAGGUGGGGAUGACGUCAAAUCAUCAUGCCCCUUAUGAUUUGGGCUACACACGUGCUACAAUGGACAAUACAGAGGGCAGCGAAACCGCGAGGUCAAGCAAAUCCCAUAAAGUUGUUCUCAGUUCGGAUUGUAGUCUGCAACUCGACUACAUGAAGCUGGAAUCGCUAGUAAUCGUAGAUCAGCAUGCUACGGUGAAUACGUUCCCGGGUCU